rnacentral:rRNA from 1 species
UACGUAGGUGGCAAGCGUUGUCCGGAAUUAUUGGGCGUAAAGCGCGCGCAGGUGGUUCCUUAAGUCUGAUGUGAAAGCCCACGGCUCAACCGUGGAGGGUCAUUGGAAACUGGGGAACUUGAGUGCAGAAGAGGAAAGUGGAAUUCCAAGUGUAGCGGUGAAAUGCGUAGAGAUUUGGAGGAACACCAGUGGCGAAGGCGACUUUCUGGUCUGUAACUGAUACUGAGGCGCGAAAGCGUGGGGAGCAAACAGG